rnacentral:rRNA from 1 species
ACUUUCAACAACGGAUCUCUUGGUUCUGGCAUCGAUGAAGAACGCAGCGAAAUGCGAUAAGUAAUGUGAAUUGCAGAAUUC